GACGAACGCUGGCGGCGUGCUUAACACAUGCAAGUCGAACGAAGUGGCGAACGGGUGCGUAAUACGUAGGUAACCUUCCCUCCUCUAUGGGAUAAGCCUUGGAAACGCGGUCUAAUACCGACUACAGGGGGGUGGGCUCGCGGCUUAUCAGCUUGUUGUUGGGUUGAUGGCCUACCAAGGCGGUGCCGGGUAGCCGGCCUGAGAGGUGGACCGGCGACAUGGGGACUGAGAAACGGCCCAGAGUAGUCAGGGAGGCAGCAUGGGGGGCAAUGGCCGAAUGGGCGACAGCCUGAUGCAGCGUGGCCGAGGGGGGGAUGAAGGCUUUCAGGUUGUAAACCUAUUUAGCUACAGAACGGGUAGGUAAAGAAGAAGCGCCGGCUAACUACGUGCCAGCAGCCGCGGUAAUUC
rnacentral:rRNA from 1 species